rnacentral:misc_RNA from 1 species
GAUGAAGAACGUAGCGAAAUGCGAUAAGUAAUGUGAAUUGCAGAAUUCAGUGAAUCAUCGAGUCUUUGAACGCACAUUGCGCCCCCUGGUAUUCCGGGGGGCAUGCCUGUCCGAGCGUCAUUGCUGCCCUCAAGCACGGCUUGUGUGUUGGGCCCCCGUCCCCGGUCUCCCCCGGGGACGGGCCCGAAAGGCAGCGGCGGCACCGCGUCCGGUCCUCGAGCGUAUGGGGCUUUGUCACCCGCUCUGUAGGCCCGGCCGGCGCCAGCCGACACCCAACUUUAUUUCUAAGGUUGACCUCGGAUCAGGUAGGGAUACCCGCUGAACUUAAGCAUAUCAAUAAGCGGAGGA